GAUGAACGCUGGCGGCGUGCUUAACACAUGCAAGUCGAACGAUGAAGCCCAGCUUGCUGGGUGGAUUAGUGGCGAACGGGUGAGUAACACGUGAGUAACCUGCCCUUAACUCUGGGAUAAGCCUGGGAAACUGGGUCUAAUACCGGAUAGGAGCGUCCACCGCAUGGGGGGUGUUGGAAAGAUUUAUCGGUUUUGGAUGGACUCGCGGCCUAUCAGCUUGUUGGUGAGGUAAUGGCUCACCAAGGCGACGACGGGUAGCCGGCCUGAGAGGGUGACCGGCAACACUGGGACUGAGACACGGCCAAGACUCCUACGGGAGGCAGCAGGGGGGAAUAUUGCACAAGGGGCGCAAGCCUGAUGCAGCGACGCCGCGUGAGGGAUGACGGCCUUCGGGUUGUAAACCUCUUUCAGUAGGGAAGAAGCGAAAGGGACGGUACCGGCAGAAGAAGCACCGGCUAACUACGU
rnacentral:rRNA from 1 species